AUCUAGAUCACAUUCUUAUGAUCGUGAACGUGAACCAAAAAGGAGGAAACUUGAUGGCUAUGAGUCUCCAAGGCAUAGAAGGUCAUUAAGCAUUGAAAAUACUGACAAUUGUAUCAAGAUUGGUAAGAAUGGUUUGGUAAAUCAUAAGUUUGCUAAAAAGUUACCGGUACAAGAAGUAAUUGUAAUUGAACAGAUGAUAUAUGAGAUGUAGUAAGUAUUUUUAUAUUUAAUCUUACUUGUCUUGUUGAAAACAGUACAGAAAUUAUAUUUUUGUUCGUUGAACCGCGAAAUUCAUUAUCACACGGCGUUCCAAAAAUUGCAAAAGUUCUAAAUAAUUCGGAAUUGGUAAUUUUUUAAAACUGCAACCAGAAGUUUCACUUGUUAUUUCUAUGUGAAAUAUUACUUUCAUUUAUGUGCCCAUUGCAAAGUCAUCAGUUAAUCGUAAUUAAUGUAAAAGUAACAAACUAAAUGGUACACAUCAUGUAUGUACGUACGUGUUCUUCUUGAUGUCGCCUCUUCUUUAUAUGCACCUUGUCCCGGAUUUACACUGAAGGCUGUUGCACACAUUGAGAAAAUCCGAUACCUUUUACGGUCAUCAAAGUCUGCAUAAUAAGACUUAUAAACAACAAG
rnacentral:misc_RNA from 1 species